rnacentral:tRNA from 1 species
GGCCUUAUGGUCAAGAGGUUAAGACGCCGCCCUCUCAAGGCGGAAUCACGAGUUCGAUUCUCGUUAAGGCUACCA